rnacentral:rRNA from 1 species
AUUGAACGCUGGCGGCAUGCUUUACACAUGCAAGUCGAACGGUAACAGGCCUUCGGGCGCUGACGAGUGGCGAACGGGUGAGUAAUGCAUCGGAACGUGCCCAGUCGUGGGGGAUAACGCAGCGAAAGCUGUGCUAAUACCGCAUACGAUCUAUGGAUGAAAGCGGGGGACCGUAAGGCCUCGCGCGAUUGGAGCGGCCGAUGUCAGAUUAGGUAGUUGGUGGGGUAAAGGCUCACCAAGCCAACGAUCUGUAGCUGGUCUGAGAGGACGACCAGCCACACUGGAACUGAGACACGGUCCAGACUCCUACGGGAGGCAGCAGUGGGGAAUUUUGGACAAUGGGCGCAAGCCUGAUCCAGCAAUGCCGCGUGCAGGAAGAAGGCCUUCGGGUUGUAAACUGCUUUUGUACGGAACGAAACGGCGAGCUCUAAUACAGUUUGCUAAUGACGGUACCGUAAGAAUAAGCACCGGCUAACUACGUGCCAGCCGCCGCCGUAAGAC